rnacentral:rRNA from 1 species
CCUACGGGAGGCAGCAGUGGGGAAUAUUGGGCAAUGGAGGCAACUCUGACCCAGCAACGCCGCGUGAAUGAUGAAGGUCUUCGGAUUGUAACGUUCUGUGAUGGGGGAUGAACACAAUGACGGUACCCCAAUAGCAAGCCACGGCUAACUACGUGCCAGCAGCCGCGGUAAUACGUAGGUGGCAAGCGUUAUCCGGAAUGACUGGGCGUAAAGGGUGCGUAGGUGGUUUAGUAAGUUGGCGGUGUAAUUCCGGGGCUCAACCGUAAAAUUGCAAUUGAUACUGGCAGUCUUGAGUACAGUUGAGGUAGGCGGAAUUCGUGGUGUAGCGGUGAAAUGCUUAGAUAUCACGCAGAACUCCGAUUGCGAAGGCAGCAUACCGGCGCCCAACUGACGCUGAAGCACGAAAGCGUGGGUAUCGAACAGGAUUAGAUACCCGAGUAGUC